rnacentral:rRNA from 1 species
UACGGAGGGUGCAAGCGUUAUCCGGAUUUACUGGGUUUAAAGGGUGUGUAGGCGGGUCUUUAAGUCAGUGGUGAAAUCUCCGAGCUCAACUUGGAAACUGCCAUUGAUACUAUUGAUCUUGAAUUCUGUUGAGGUUGGCGGAAUAAGUCAUGUAGCGGUGAAAUGCAUAGAUAUGACUUAGAACACCGAUUGCGAAGGCAGCUAACGUAAGCAGAUAUUGACGCUGAGGCACGAAAGCGUGGGGAUCAAACAGGA